rnacentral:rRNA from 1 species
GGUCAAGCUAUAACGGGCUCAUGGUGGAUACCUAGGUACGCAGAGGCGAAGAAGGACGUGGUUACCGACGAUACGCUCCGGGGAGCUGGAAGCAAGCAUUGAUCCGGAGGUUUCCGAAUGGGGCAACCCUAUGUACGGCCCGCUGAAUCCAUAGGCGGGUGCGAGCGAACGCAGCGAACUGAAACAUCUUAGUAGCUGUAGGAAGAGAAAGAAAACUCGAUUCCCUGAGUA